rnacentral:miRNA from 1 species
UGUGUAUGUGUGUAUGUGUGUGUGUGUGUGUAUGUAUAUAUAUAUAUAUACAUACACACACACACACACACACACC